rnacentral:rRNA from 1 species
AACGAACGCUGGCGGCAUGCCUAACACAUGCAAGUCGAACGAGACCUUCGGGUCUAGUGGCGCACGGGUGCGUAACGCGUGGGAACCUGCCCUUAGGUUCGGAAUAACUCCCCGAAAGGGGUGCUAAUACCGGAUAAUGUCUUCGGACCAAAGAUUUAUCGCCUUUGGAUGGGCCCGCGUUGGAUUAGCUAGCUGGUAGGGUAAAAGCCUACCAAGGCGACGAUCCAUAGCUGGUCUGAGAGGAUGAUCAGCCACACUGGGACUGAGACACGGCCCAGACUCCUACGGGAAGCAGCAGUGGGGAAUAUUGGACAAUGGGCGAAAGCCUGAUCCAGCAAUGCCGCGUGAGUGAUGAAGGCCUUAGGGUUGUAAAGCUCUUUUACCCGGGAUGAUAAUGACAGUACCGGGAGAAUAAGCUCCGGCUAACUCCGUG